GACAGCGUGUUCCACAUAGGACAGGUCAGGAAACAUCAACAGAAGAGGCAAAGGAAAGCAUCACUCUUACAGAAGCAAUUGGUAUUCCUCAAACAAAUUCCCGUUUUAAAAUGGGAACAGCAUGUCAGCAGUUGGGGGAGGUGAUCCUGUCCCUCUGCUCAGCCCUGGUGAGGCACAUCUGGAGUGCUGUGUCCAAAUCUGAGCUUCUCAGUGUGGGAGAGACAUGGAGCUCCCUGAGCAGGUCCACUGGAGGGCAACAAAGAUGAUGAGGGGACCGAAGCAUCUCUCUCACCAGGAUGAGCUGAAGGAGGUGGGCCUGGUCAGCCUUGAGGAGAGGCGACUGAGAGGGGAACCUCAGGAAGGUCUAUAAAUAUCUAAUGUGUUGGUACCAAGAUGAUGGACAUAGGCUCUUCUCUGUGAUACCAAGCAAUAAGAUGAGAGCCAGCAAGCAGAAAAGCUGCACCUGAGUAUGAGGAAGAACUACUUUACUGUGUGAGUGAUCACAAACAGGAGCAGUGUGCCCAGACAGAUUGUUGAGUCUCCCUCAGUGAAGGUACUCAAUAACCAUCUGGAUGCAAUCCUGUGCUAUGGGGUCUAGAGCUUGAGCUCAGGGCGCUCCAUGACCUGCUGACAUUCCUUCCAACCUUAGCCAUUUUGUGAUUCUGUGAUCUUGUGACAUAUAGACCUGUGGAACUAUAGGCCAGUCAGUCUCACCUCUGUUCCUGGUGAAAUCCCCAUGGAAACUAUAGUAAGGCAUAUGGAAAAUAAAGAGGUGGUUAGUGACAACCAAUGUGGCUCCAUUAAGGGUAAAUAAUGUCUGCCGAGUGUGGUGGCCUUCUGCAAUGGGGCUAUAGAGGUGAUCACUGAGGGGAGAGCUGACAUCAUCUACAUGGUCUCGUGCAAAGCAUUUGCACCCAAUGGCUUGGGUUGAGACAUUAAAGAUUGACUGUUCCAACCCUCCUGCAGUGGGCAGGGACACCUCUCACUAGACCAAUUGCUCAAAGCCCCAUCCAACCUGGCCUUGAACACCUCAGGAAUGAAGCAUCCACAGCUUCUGGGCAACUUGUUCCAGUGCCUCACCACCUUUAUAGAAAAGAACUUCCUAAUACAUAACCUGAACCUACCCUUCCUUUGGUUUAGAGCCAUUCGCUCUUGACCUGUCACUACAUGGCCUUGCCCAAAGUCUCCAUCUUUCUUGUAGUCUCUCUUCAGGUGCUAGAAUCCCACCUUCUCUUUUCAGGUCAUGGCAAGCUUAUUCACCGCAAUUGUCCUGAUCCAGGUGGAGCACCUUGCACUUGGUAUUGUUAAACCUCACGAGAUUCCCAUGGGCUCACUUCUCCAGCCUGUCCAGGUCCCUCUGGAAGACUUCCUAGUGCGUCAACCACAUCAGUCAGCUGGGAAUGAUCUGCAAAUUUGAUGAAAUACAUGGUGUCUUGGAAUGGGUGAAGAAGGAUGAAGAGCAUCAGCGAUGGGAUACUCUUUUCAGAUGGUUGGAAUUGCAGCAUACCCUACUAAGGAGUAUUUGUUGAAAGACAGUAUGUUGUAAGAUACAACCACAGAAUAGGUAAGGUUGGAAGGAAUCACUGGAAGAUACCUAUUCCAACCUCUCUGCUCCAGCAGGAUCCCCUAGAGUACAUUAUGCAACAUUGUGUCCAUAUGGCUUAUGAAUAACUCCAGAGAAAGAGACUCCCCAACCUGUCUGGACAACCUGUUCCAGUACACAGUUACUUGCAUGGUAGAAAAGCUCUUGCUCACGUUCAAGUGGAACUUCCUGUCCAUCAGUUUCUGCCCAUUGUAUCUUGUCCUAUUGCUCAACACCAAGAAGAGCCUGGAUCUAUCCUCUGACGCUCUCUGUUCAGAUAUUUCUAUGCAACGGUAAGAUCGCAUCUCAGUCUUCACUUCUCCAGGCUAACAGGCUCAACCUUUCCUUUUAAGAGAGAUGCUCCAGUCCUCUCAUCAUCUCUGUCACCCUCCACUCAACCUGCUCCAGGAGCUCCAUGUAUCUCUUCUCCUGAGGAGCCCAGAACUGGACACAGCACUCCAGAUGUGCCUCAUUAAGACUGAGCAAAGCCGACAGUAUCAUGCCAUCAUCAACUUGAUGGCAAUGCUCUUCCUAAUGCACCCCAGGAUCUCAAUGGCAUUCUUGGCGCCCAGGAUACACUGUUGAUUCAUGGACAGCUUGCUGUUCACCGGGAUCCCCCAGGUCCUUCUCCACAGAGCUGCUCUCCAGCAGAUCAGCUGGGGCCUCUGCUGGUGCCUGGUGUUGUUCCUCUGUAGCUGCUGUGCAGUGGCGGCUGGCCUCGAAGAUAAACCCCAGCUAGCUGCGGCCAGCACCGCCAGCAGCACAGGGGCACUCUCCCGAUUCCGGGCUCUGUCAGGAGAGCGCCUAAGGCUUUCGCCUUAUGGGACGAGGAUCCGCGACGAAGAGAAGGGGCUGCUACCCACAGAAGACAGGAGAUGGACUUCGGUGACAGCACAAUAUAGAUCGAGUAAGCUCCAGGGAAACUGUUGUCCGAACACCUCAAACUGAGGUCUUACAUCGGUUUUUAAAGAGGGGUGAACGGCCAAUGGGGAAACAGAGGGGUGUCAGGUGGGGGUGAUUGACAUAAUGGGACAGCUAAUAGGAGAGAGCGUGGGGAGGGGCCUCAGUCCCUGAACCAAUCACCCGAUGCCUUGGGUAGAAGAUUCUAGAUGGGAAGGCUGGGCCACCGAGUGAUGGACAGGGCACCAGGGAGGGGUUUAGGGGAAGACACAUAGGUUGUCAAGGUAACUGGGAGGAAAAAGACUAGAAGGACUGGGCGAUCGAGGAGAGAGAGACUCAGGGCAGAACCACUACAACUAAGAGGGGUACACGGAACAAACCAUAUUACAAUCUGAAAAUAAACGCAAUACUACAGUGCAGGACCCUGCAUCUGCUUUUGUUGAACUUCAGACAGCUCCUCUCUGCUGAUUCCUCCAGCUUGUUGAAGUCCUUCUGAAAGGUUGCACGGCCCACUGGGGUAUUAGCCAUUCCUCUGAAUUUUGUGUCAUCAGUGGACUUGCUGAGGAAGCAUCUUCCCUUUCAUCCAAGUGAACAAGCUAAGAAGCACUGGGCCUAGCAUAGAACCUUGGGGGACACCACCAGUGACAGACUUCCAACCAGACUCUGUGCCACUGAUUAAAAACCCUCUGGGAUCUGCCAUUCAGCCAGAUCUCCAUCCACCAUCCAUUCAUCCAGCUUCCGUUUCCUGAGCUUACUUAUGAGCACAUCAGAGAGAGAGAGUAUUGAAAUCCUUGCUGAAGUCACGGUAGAAAAAAUCUACUGCUCUCAUCCAUCCAGGUAGUUGUCCCAUUGUAGGAGGCAAUCAGGUUGGUCAAGCAUGAUUUUCCUUUAGUGAAUUCAUGCUAAAUACUCCUUAUCAUCUUCUUGUCAUCUACUUGGAUAGAGGUGUCCUUCAGGAUGAGCCAUUCAUUCAUCAUCACCUUUUAACAUGAAACAACAUAAAGCACAAGUAUUUUAGAAUGCAACAUAACAUGAAUUCCUGAUGCAGGAGCCUGAAAUUAUUCAUUCAAAUGUUUUCCUGUACUAACUUGGCCUCACCAUGUGUUUAUUACACAGAAUUGAAAUAUUUCCAGGCACACAAAUCUCUGUAUAGCUUGUAUAAUUUUCUACUGUAUCAUAAUAAAUUCUGAAACUAAAUAAAGGCAAUUAAAUAGA